UCGGAGGAGCUCUCAUUCUUGCAGUGUUUAGACAGACUGGGCCGUUCUGGGCAGUUCAGUUUGUGCAGUGUCCUGUGAGCAGCAAGAACCUCUCAAAGAAAGAAAACACAACCUCACAUGUGUCAUUUGGACUACAUUGCAAUGGCAGUCACAGUCAAAAUGCUCCGUCUCCUGAUUCUGGUGGUGGUGGCUGAAUCAAGUGUGUCACCCUCCGGGGCUGGAUACUCUUGCCGUUGCUUGCAGAAAGCCCCCAGUUUACCCUGGGUGAGGAUAAGAGACUUCAACAUUGCUGAGGGACAUGAUUUAUGCGGAACUGAGAUUAUAGUUCGAAUGGCAUCUGGAAAAAAUGUUUGUAUUGAUCCUGAUCAAACCUUGGGUAGACGCUUACAAAACUGCUGGAAAAGGAUUAACCGUAAGCAGAAACUAAAACCCAGGUGCCUUUAUAAACCCACAAGAAAA